UACCAGCACCCCGAGUGGUCGGGACGUUUAUUGGGCCUAAAGCAUCCGUAGCCGGUUCUACAAGUCUUCCGUUAAAUCCAGCUGCUUAACAGAUGGGCUGCGGAAGAUACUAUGGAGCUAGGAGGCGGGAGAGGCAAGCGGUACUCGAUGGGUAGGGGUAAAAAUCCGUUGAUCCAUUGAAGACCACCAGUGGCGAAGGCGGCUUGCCAGAACGCGCUCGACGGUGAGGGAUGAAAGCUGGGGGAGCAACCGG
rnacentral:rRNA from 1 species